rnacentral:rRNA from 1 species
CCCCUAGUAACUGCGAGUGAAGCGGGAAAAGCUCAAAUUUAAAAUCUGGCAGUCUUUGGCUGUCCGAGUUGUAAUCUAGAGAAGUGUUAUCCGCGCUGGACCGUGUACAAGUCUCCUGGAAUGGAGCGUCAUAGAGGGUGAGAAUCCCGUCUUUGACACGGACUACCAGGGCUUUGUGAUGCGCUCUCAAAGAGUCGAGUUGUUUGGGAAUGCAGCUCAAAAUGGGUGGUAAAUUCCAUCUAAAGCUAAAUAUUGGCGAGAGACCGAUAGCGAACAAGUACCGUGAGGGAAAGAUGAAAAGAACUUUGGAAAGAGAGUUAAACAGUACGUGAAAUUGCUGAAAGGGAAACGCUUGAAGUCAGUCGCGUUGUCCAGGGAUCAACCUUGCUUUUGCUUGGUGCACUUUCUGGUUGACGGGUCAGCAUCAAUUUUGACUAUUGGAAAAAGAUUAAGGGAAUGUGGCAUCUUUGGAUGUGUUAUAGCCCUUGGUUGCAUACAAUAGUUGGGAUUGAGGAACUCAGCACGCCGCAAGGCCGGGUUUUUAACCACGUACGUGCUUAGGAUGCUGGCAUAAUGGCUUUAAUCGACCCGUCUUGAAACACGGACCAAGGAGUCUAACAUGCCUGCGAGUGUUUGGGUGGAAAACCCGAGCGCGUAAUGAAAGUGAAAGUUGAGAUCCCUGUCGUGGGGAGCAUCGACGCCCGGACCAGACCUUUUGUGACGGUUCCGCGGUAGAGCAUGUAUGUUGGGACCCGAAAGAUGGUGAACUAUGCCUGAAUAGGGUGAAGCCAGAGGAAACUCUGGUGGAGGCUCGUAGCGAUUCUGACGUGCA